AGUGAACGCUGGCGGUAGGCCUAACACAUGCAAGUCGAACGGCAGCACGGUAAGAGCUUGCUCUUACGGGUGGCGAGUGGCGGACGGGUGAGGAAUACAUCGGAAUCUACUUUUUCGUGGGGGAUAACGUAGGGAAACUUACGCUAAUACCGCAUACGACCUACGGGUGAAAGCAGGGGAUCUUCGGACCUUGCGCGAUUGAAUGAGUCGAUGUCGGAUUAGCUAGUUGGCGGGGUAAAGGCCCACCAAGGCGACGAUCCGUAGCUGGUCUGAGAGGAUGAUCAGCCACACUGGAACUGAGACACGGUCCAGACUCCUACGGGAGGCAGCAGUGGGGAAUAUUGGACAAUGGGCGCAAGCCUGAUCCAGCCAUACCGCGUGGGUGAAGAAGGCCUUCGGGUUGUAAAGCCCUUUUGUUGGGAAAGAAAAGCAGCAGGUUAAUACCCCGCUGUUCUGACGGUACCCAAAGAAUAAGCACCGGCUAACUUCGUG
rnacentral:rRNA from 1 species